AAUUUUUUGUGAAGCAAACUAAACAAGGCCUCAGUCUCUGUCUAUGUCUCUCUCUCCCCGAUCUUUGUGUCUCUGAUCUGUCUCCCUCCUCACUCUCUCAUCUCACAGUCUCUCACUGUCUGGGUUUGCAUCUACACCGAUCGACUCUCUCUCAUCGCAAAAUCGACCGAUCGAUUGACCCUCUCAUCGCACCGAUCGACCUCACAAGUGUUGUUUUACGAGGAUGGUUGCUUGAAAUUCUGUUAAGGAUUGCUUCGUAAGUCAUGGGUUGUAAAGUAAUACAAAAAUAGAAAGUCAAAUAGGUUUAUAACUGAAUUGUGUUGAUACACCUUUUCCAUCAAAAUGGUGGAUGAGAAUGGGCUUGAGCUUAGCUUAGGUCUAUCUUUGUGUUGUUCAUCUGCCAAGUCUAAUGAUAAAAAUGAUAGCUCUUCAAAUACUAGGACAUUCGAAGGUGACAGAAGCAACAAAUUGAUCAACGAUUUCAAAAACCUUCUUGAGGGUGGCAAUCUGAAACAGGAAUUUGGCACUGGUUCUCAGAGAAAUGAUCCAAUAAAACCUAAUGAUUUUUUGAAUGCUGCUGUCAAUGUGGAUGCUUCUAAAAGCUUGAAUGGUAAAGGAACUUGGGUUUCAAAUGUUAACAAGGGUGCCGAAGUUGAAGAGGAAAAGAGGCAUGAGGCUGGUGACAAGCGAAAAAAUUUGUUCGAUGAGAUAAACAAUCAAAAGAAGCUUGAGAGAGAAUCUCAUAUUGCUGAUUUACAUGACAAGCCAAGACCAUCACACAUUUCCAUAACCACAGAUGAUGGCUCAACUGCUGAAAAUGAAGAUGUUGCGGAUUCUGAAGUCGAAGGUUCGACCUCAAGGCUGAUUCCACACCACGGUGAUGGUACAAAAAAGUACAUUGGGGAUGCUAUUCAAACAACUAAUAAUUCUAGUGUAGUGGACUUACAAGGGCAAAAAAGGUUUACCAUUUCAUCUGAAAAGGAAUUUAAGGAUGGAAAUAUGCCAUAUGGUGUUCCCUUCCCACCUCAAUUGGUAAAUAUCAUGAAUAUGCCUUACCCAUUAGAUGUGAAGGAGUCUAGUUCUUUUGGGGUACCCGGCACAUCAAACUAUCCACAAACGGGUAAGGUGCAAGCGAUGGCUGCUGCAAAUAGCAAGCGACCUGGGACCCAACCUGUGAUGCCUGGAAAUUUUCCAGGGAUGUUUGGAUAUUCUCCUGUCCAACUUCCAGUGUCGGACAAAGAUGACUCCUGGGGUUUGGCUUCUCAUCCUCAGCAGCUGCAUCCUCCCUUUGUUGGCAGGCUUCCACCAAGCUCAGAUAAACACAAUGAUGGGCUGAAGAUAUCUCAAGGUUCCUUUUCUCAGACAGAAGAUGGUGUGAAGGGAAGCAAUAUGAUCUUUGGGACAAAAGAGGAAUCUGACAAACUGAGAGCAGAAGGUUUUCCUUAUGAACUUUCAGCAAUAAGGCCCGGUAUUGCUGCGGAGCUGAAAUUUGGGGGAUGUGGUUCGUCCCCAAAUCUACCAUGGGUUUCUGCAAAGGGUCCUGGCCCAAAUGGUCGGACAAUUUCUGGUGUGACUUUUAGAUUCAGCGCAACCCAAAUCAAGAUUGUUUGUGCUUGCCAUGGGUCCCACAUGUCCCCUGAAGAAUUUGUUCGGCACGCUGGUGAAGAGCAAACCAAUCCCGAUUCUGGCUCCGGUUUAGCGUCGUUGCCAAGUAACAACCCGGCCGCUUCAGCUCUAAACUAAUUCCUUACUUCUAUGUUCAAGUUGAGUUCAUUCCAAAAUUUAGUGUGAGGACAAUCUGGCAGAGAUGGCGUGAAUCAUAUCCGAAAGAUGGGACUAAGGCGGAUGAUGCUAUAAUUGUGUUUACGGGAGUUCCAACUAUGUAUACUCGAUUGAUACAAGGUUAUGAAGCAAUGGAUCCAGAAUUACAAGAGGCUUCUGCCUCAGCUGCGAGCAAGUUGCGCUGCAUGGUAAUCAGCUUGCAACACCUUUCUCAGGAAAUUUUGACCAAAAUCCAAUAUCCAAGACUACUGUGUGUGGAGAGGGGUAACAUGUGACAAUGUCACCUUCAAUGUCAUUGCACUCAAUCUCUCAGGUUUAAAUCUUGAUGGGGAAAUCUCACCUGCGAUUGGCGACCUUAAAAGUCUGCUCUCUAUGUAUAAUUUCUUCACUUUGAUGUGAGAGGAAAUCACCUCUCAGGACAGAUCCCUGAUGAAAUUGGUGACUGCUCCUCUUUGAAAAGCUUGGACUUAUCAUUCAAUGAGUUAUAUGGGGACAUACCAUUUUCAGUUUCAAAGUUGAAACAACUAGAACACCUAAUUUUGAAAAACAAUCAGUUAAUUGGUCCAAUUCCCUCAACCUUGUCCCAAAUUCCAAAUUUAAAACUCUU